AUGCUCGUAGCUCAAUAGGAUAGAGCAACAAACUACGAAUUUGUAGGUUGAGAGUUCAAAUCUUUCCGAGCAUG
rnacentral:tRNA from 1 species